UUGAGUUUGAUCCUGGCUCAGGACGAACGCUGGCGGCGUGCUUAACACAUGCAAGUCGAACGAUGAUGCCCAGCUUGCUGGGUGGAUUAGUGGCGAACGGGUGAGUAACACGUGAGUAACCUGCCCUUGACUCUGGGAUAAGCGCUGGAAACGGCGUCUAAUACCGGAUACGACCUGCCCCGGCAUCGGGUGUGGGUGGAAAGUUUUUCGGUCAAGGAUGGACUCGCGGCCUAUCAGCUUGUUGGUGAGGUAAUGGCUCACCAAGGCGACGACGGGUAGCCGGCCUGAGAGGGUGACCGGCCACACUGGGACUGAGACACGGCCCAGACUCCUACGGGAGGCAGCAGUGGGGAAUAUUGCACAAUGGGCGAAAAAGCCUUGAUGCAAACAACGCCGCGUGGGGGGAUGACCGGCCUUUCGGGUUGGAAAAACCUCUUUUAGUUAGGGGAAGGAAGGACUUCGGUUUGACGGUACCUGCAGAAAAAAGCACCGGCUAACUACGUGCCAGCAGCCCGCGGUAAUACGUAGGGUGCAAGCGUUGUCCGGAAUUAUUGGGCGUAAAGAGCUCGUAGGCGGUUUGUCGCGUCUGCUGUGAAAACCCGAGGCUCAACCUCGGGCCUGCAGUGGGUACGGGCAGACUAGAGUGCGGUAGGGGAGAAUGGAAUUCCUGGUGUAGCGGUGGAAUGCGCAGAUAUCAGGAGGAACACCGAUGGCGAAGGCAGUUCUCUGGGCCGUUACUGACGCUGAGGAGCGAAAGCAUGGGGAGCGAACAGGAUUAGAUACCCUGGUAGUCCAUGCCGUAAACGUUGGGAACUAGAUGUGGGGACCUUUCCACGGUCUCCGUGUCGCAGCUAACGCAUUAAGUUCCCCGCCUGGGGAGUACGGCCGCAAGGCUAAAACUCAAAGGAAUUGACGGGGGCCCGCACAAGCGGCGGAGCAUGCGGAUUAAUUCGAUGCAACGCGAAGAACCUUACCAAGGCUUGACAUAUACCGGAAACUUCCAGAAAUGGUUGCCCCGCAAGGUCGGUAUACAGGUGGUGCAUGGUUGUCGUCAGCUCGUGUCGUGAGAUGUUGGGUUAAGUCCCGCAACGAGCGCAACCCUCGUUCUAUGUUGCCAGCACGUUAUGGUGGGAACUCAUAGGAGACUGCCGGGGUCAACUCGGAGGAAGGUGGGGAUGACGUCAAAUCAUCAUGCCCCUUAUGUCUUGGGCUUCACGCAUGCUACAAUGGCCGGUACAAAGGGCUGCGAUACCGUAAGGUGGAGCGAAUCCCAAAAAGCCGGUCUCAGUUCGGAUUGAGGUCUGCAACUCGACCUCAUGAAGUCGGAGUCGCUAGUAAUCGCAGAUCAGCAACGCUGCGGUGAAUACGUUCCCGGGCCUUGUACACACCGCCCGUCAAGUCAUGAAAGUCGGUAACACCCGAAGCCAGUGGCCUAACCGCAAGGAGGGAGCUGUCGA
rnacentral:rRNA from 1 species